rnacentral:sRNA from 1 species
AUUUUUAUCAACAAAUUUCGGCCAAAAUAAAUCCGUCAAAUUCUUUUUUUUUUUUAUUAAUUAGUCGAGCAGAUGGGCGGGUCUAUUUUAGUUCAAAGAUAAAA